AAUGUGAAGAUAUCUGUAAGCGCAUAAAUGUGAGUUAUAUCUCUCUACCGCUGCUGAACUAAUAUUUUCCUCAUAUAGUUGAUUUGGCUUUUCUGUCUUGAUAAAUGAAAUAACAGUUUGAAAAGGUGCUUCUUGUAUUGUUCUCGUUAUCUUUGCAUAAUAUGUUUAGAUAUCUGAACCAUUUAAGUCUGACCACAAAAAAGAAAGCCAGAAAAAAAAAAAAACCCAGUAAGCAGACGGAUAUAUUUUUCCCCACUGCCUCCACUGGAAGCUACCAGGAGACUGUGUCAAUAACAUAAAUCCAUCAUCCACACGUUGGGCAACUAAGACUGAGGCGACUGUAGCCCACAAAAGAAUCUCUGUAGGAAAGCAAAGGACAGGAAAGAACAAGCGUUUGGUCGAGACGGCUGCAGGAGAGAGGGGCGAACGGCGACCGGCUGGUUCUUCUCUGAUGAAAUAUUGAUGCCGCUGACUUUGAUUCUGCGAUAGGUACUCUUGAUCCAGAUCUGUCACGGCAUCAGAGACUCCCCACCACCACCACCACCUUCUUAUUCUUCCUCAGGUAGCAUUACUGGCCUUCGGAAAACUGCUCCCCACCUCCACCAGCUUUGAUCAAACGUGUCGACUUUGAAGACCUUAUACAGAUCAAUGGCGUGUGUGUUUGUGUGUGUGUGCGUACAGGCAGGCGGAUGCUGUGGGCCUGGAACUCAAUAAGCAGCUGGACGGGGUUUCGCUGUUAGUCAGUUGUUGACUUUUAUUUAUCACGACUGCUGCUGCUGUAAUUGAUGACUGAAUCAACAGACGCUGCAGCAGCCAGCGCUGACUUCCCUUCUUCUUCUUUUUUUUUUUUUCCAGCAGAGCAGCAGUCGUAUCUCUUUUCCCCUCGCAGCACUCAUCUGAAAUUUAAAUCCAAUACUUUUGAAAGGAGGGUAAAAAAACAAGCUUUAUUAUUUAAAGAGACCAGUUUCAUUAACAAAAACCCAGGGCAUUGUUCAGACAAUAAAUCCUGAGGCUGCAACAUCAGCGCGCUCACAUCUCUGGGCUCGUCCUUUUAUAGACUUUCCCCAAACACAUCUCUGCAUGCUUCUCUGCCUCUUUUAUUCUCUUAAAAGACUAAAGUGCUCUUUUUCUCUCUCGCUCUGUGUGAGUGUGUGUGUGUGUGUGGAGUGGAAAGUAACCAGUGCGGUGCUGUAUUCCUGAGUAAUGGAGCAGAGAACCAUCUGUCUGUCUGGCCAGCCAUUCGACUGUAUCCCAAGAUCCUCUCAGUGUGUCUCACCUGCUAAUGAGAAGCUAGCAGGUCUUCUGCAGCUUGCAGCCCUUAAAAUGAAAGACUUCCCUGCACUGUGGAGGCUGCUGAGCACACACGGCUCCUCCUCGGUCGUCUUUGUCGUCAGCGCAAUCAGUAAUUUAAAAACGAGGGAAUCAAAAAUGGCGCGUGACGCAACAGUUCACACGAUUUGACGUUUGCUGAACUUCCUCCUAUUGUAGCUGACCAAAAGAUUUUUAACGCAGUGACGUUUCUAGUAUUUAUUUAAAACAUUUAAGAUGCCGUUUUCUUUUUUCCACACCUGAACAAAUUGUGGUCUUUGGUUUAGUCAGCGAAUCACUAAAGCAAAUACAGUAGAAAGGGACACGAUAUGGGCCGGGCCCAAACAGAAGGCAGUUUGAGCUUUGUUAAAAAAUUAAUAAAUAGAAAAAAUGACUAUAAUUGAAUAAGUAUAAUGAGUCUGCUGCACAAAACCAGAGCAAUGACUAUUAUCAGGUUGAUAACCAAUAAUUACUUAAAAAUCUCUGUGCUCAUUAAGCAGCUCCUGUAGAGAGGCUGAGCUCAAUAUAGCCCUCCAGAAUCCCCUCCCCUCGCCCACCAAGAUCCCGCUGCUCUCCCCUCUCGUUAUAUCCCACUUUUCCUCCUCCUCUCUCUGCUCUUCAUUCCCGCUUCCCUUUUAAUCACUUUCCAUCCCCUCGCUCGGUCGCGCUCGGCUCCGUCCCUUUCCUCCCAUCCUCCCGUCUUUUCAGGGGCGAUGGCAGUCAUUUUUCAUCCGUCCUGCGACGCCCCGUUUAUUUAUGUACAGGGCUGCGCCGGUCUCUUCCUCCUCCCUCCCUCUCCACCCCUCGCUCCGUCUCCUCCACUCCCUCUUUCUCUCCCCGGAAGAUUAACCAUACCCUCUCCAUCUCUUCUCAUCUAUCAUCCUAAUGGGGGCUACAAGAGGGAAAAAACAACAAUUUGCAGAGGGUGAAGCAGCCACAGAAGGGCACGGCGAGUGUCUGGAAUGUCACCUCGGAUCAAUUUCCACUUUGUCCCCGGUUUAAUUUACGCGCCCGUUUUCAUCCCGUCAGAUGUAGCAAUCUUCUUUCACCUUGCGUGCAUGGAAAGCAGAAAAUGUUUUGCAUUGGAUUUAUGGCGACAUUAGGGAUGCCAACACAGAGUCAGUGCAGGAGGCAUCACACUGGAAAUAAUCUCCAGGAACGUUCCCUGACUAAUUCACACCAUUUAUCUGGUGAAUUACGAAGAAGGAUGGGGGAGGGGGGGUAAAAUGGUAUCUUCACAGACCAGUGAUGUCUGACAAACUGCAAAUUGGACAUUUCACAUGGAAUAUUUUACAAAUAUUUUGGGGUAGUGACUUUUGAUUCUGCUAUGUUUUGCCUUGGUUUCUCAGAUAUCCUCAUUGCAAACCGGAACAUGAAACGGCCUGCGUGCAGAAGUGAAACUAAUCUGGACAAACAACACAAGAAGCAGAAACUCAUCCAGCAUGCCGGAUAGUAAAGGAAAGACCCCCGUGUAGUCGCUGGCUUCCACGGCCCCGAUCGCCCUCUCCACCAGCCUCCUUCGCUGUAAGAAGCCAACUGCAGGAGGCUCCUGCGAGCCACAUGCUAUCACAGCUCGGCCUUCCAGCCUCCAACCGCGACACGCUUACACUCAUCCACUCCACAGGGGAAGUGUUGAGCCUCGUUCGCCGACAUGACAGCACAAACACAGAAACACCCUUUCCCAGACUGGCGGUGCUGCCUCGAACCCCUCCUCUCCUCUCGCAGUUUCGCAUUUCUCUCUCUCUUUGCCUGCUCCUCCCAUCACUGUUUUCUCCUCAGUCUCUCUCCUCCUCUCAAAGAGCAGUUUUCCCUCGAGCGUCGUUGCGCGCUGCCGUCUUUGUUGGUGUUUACUUGUCUGAGUGUCUUUCUAAUCCUCCCCCAUCUUUCUGUCAAUAUUAGUCUUUGUUCAUCUGUAUCUAGGAUUUUUUUAUUUUUUUUCCCCCUUAACGUCUGUGUGCUGAAUAAAGUCAAAUGUGACGCACGUGAUGCUGAA